rnacentral:rRNA from 1 species
GAAGGUUGCAAGCGUUGUUCGGAAUCACUGGGCUUAAAGCGCGCGUAGGCGGAAAUACAAGUGUCUUGUGAAAUCCCUCGGCUUAACCGAGGAAUUGCUCGGCAAACUGUAUUUCUUGAGACAAGUAGGGGUACAUGGAACUCUUGGUGGAGCGGUGGAAUGCGUAGAUAUCAAGAGGAACGCCAAUGGUGAAGACAGUGUACUGGGCUUGUUCUGACGCUGAGGUGCGAAAGCGUGGGGAGCGAACGGGAUUAGAUACCCCGGUAGUCCACGCCGUAAACGAUGUCUACUAGGUUGUGGGAGUUCUGACACUUUCACGGCCGAAGCAAAAGUGUUAAGUAGACCGCCUGGGGAGUACGGUCGCAAGGCUA